GCAAAACACUGCUGUUCUAGCAGAAUAUAUGCUGCUCGGAGGCAGCUUCUCUCUCUUCCCCUCAGUUUCUUGUGAUACUGCUGGUCUUGCUACUAAAAGAUUAAAAGGAGUUCUUAGGAAGUCAGUGCUAAUGAAAUAACCUAGAACAGAGCCUCCAGAGACUGUGACCUCUGCUUAUCCUUACGUUCAACAGGAGGCUGCCUGGAGCAAUUUAUCCUCUAAUCCCACGUAAACUUCGCUGCAAGAGUUACUACUGUGCCAGAUGCACAGUGGAGAAUCUCACCUCUAACAUGAGAGAUCCCAGACUGUAAGGAUGCAUCUGCAGCAACAGAGUAACAUCAGUUUCCUGACUGCUAGCAAGAUCCAGAAGGCUGAAGAAUACUUCAUUUCAAAGACAGGCAUGAAAGCCUGAUAGCUAAAAGAAGCAAAGACUUGCAGAGAACAGAUCUGCUCAGUGAGAUUCACGCACAGGACAGCUAUUUCUGGUUCAGCAGGCAGAUGUGUUUAUUCUUUGUCAGAAGGCGACACAGAUCGGUACCUGAAGGCAGUAAUCAUUUACAAGCAAGGGACUGUCACUACCCUAACGCAGGGCCCUUCCUCUCACAUCUCAUCAGAUGCCAGGGAGCGUGAAGUCACACAAACACAAACUCCUGGAAUAAGAUGCCAGUAAGCUACAUUACUGCCAGGGUGUUCUCCAGCUACUCUGGCACCUCCACCCCGUACAGGUCAAACAGUUCGCUGGGUAACUAACUGCACUUUCUUGAACAAGUUUACAGAAAAUUAGCCAGCAGAGCAAUGCUGUACCCCAAAAUGCCUCUGAUUACCUGACUCUUGAUGCCUUGCUGAGUGAUGAAGGUCUUCAGAGCCCCUGUUUCAGAGUUCUGAGGAUAGCCAAAAUCCAGGAUUUCUACAAGAGAGUAAAAGACAAUUAGCUCAGAGCCACAAGCCAGAAGUGCAACAGAGACAUGCCAACUACAUUAACAACUAUGGUAAGGAAAGGGUUACAGAACAACCAAAUGCAAUAUCAUACAGCUGGCCGAAGGGAAACAUCUCACCAUCCAGCAGCUCAUAGAUCAGCACGAAGUUGUUCUUUAUGUUUUCUUCACUGAUCUUUCCGAAGUAAGCAGUCAUCACGUCACACAUCUUGUAAAGAAACUCAAACACCAUGGCAGCGUUGACAUUCUGCUUGGUGACAGCAGCCAGCCAGAUGUUGGAACGCUUGACAUGGAAGAAACUUGUGCGGGCGAUGUUGGUGACAGGCGAGCGGACCUGCUGCCGUGCGUGGAUGACAUUGACGCGGAAGGCAUCCACGGCAUUCCGCCCAAUGUCAUCCCGGUAGACUCGAGAGAUUAAAACCUCUCCUUUGUGAUUAUAGAUGAAUAAGCCUCCGAUCAUGAUGGAACUUUAAUC
rnacentral:lncRNA from 1 species